rnacentral:rRNA from 1 species
GACGAACGCUGGCGGCGUGCUUAACACAUGCAAGCCGAACGGGCCUUGUCCCCUUUUUUUGGGGGUGGGGUUAGUGGCGAACGGGUGAGUAACACGUGAGUAACCUGCCCCUCACUUCUGGAUAACCGCUUGAAAGGGUGGCUAAUACGGGGUGUUCUGGCCUGCUCGCAUGGGUGGGUUUGGAAAGAUUCGACCGGUUUUGGUUGUUUUGGUGGGGGAUGGGCUCGCGGCCUAUCAGCUUGUUGGUGGGGUGAUGGCCUGCCAAGGCUUUGACGGGUAGCCGGCCUGAGAGGGUGGGCGGUCACACUGGGACUGAGACACGGCCCAGACUCCUACGGGAGGCAGCAGUGGGGAAUAUUGCACAAUGGGCGCAAGCCUGAUGCAGCGACGCCGCGUGAGGGAUGGAGGCCUUCGGGUUGUGAACCUCUUUCGCCAGUGAAGAAGGUCCUGCUCUUUGUGGUGGGGUUGACGGAGCUGGGUAAUAAGC